ACUGCAGCCUACCAGGCUCCUCCGUCCAUGGGAUUUUCCAGGCAAGAGUACUGGAGUGGGGUGCCAUUGCCUUCUCCAUUAGAUGCACCAGAAAACCAAAAAAUUUGACUCUCUUUGUUGUGACAUUUGCCUUAUUGAACUGGUCUGGAACCGAACAUGCAAUAUUUCUGAGUUAUGCCUGUGUAUUUCUGAAUACACUUUUAGUUUAUUUAAUCGGUUUAUCAAGUAAAUUGGCUUAUCUAGCAAAUCAAUUUAAUUAAAUAAAUUAAUUGUGUAUUUAGAAAUAAUAGUCAUUGCUAUUAAGAGAUGUUAUUGUAACAGUGUCUUAUUUCAUUUUAAAUGAUUCUCAGCUUCAAAUUUUUCCAGAAUAGGACUUGUAUAGGUAAAUGUUAAAGCCUAUCAGUUAAUUUUUUGUGGUGAGUAAUCAUACAGAAUAUACAUACAAGAUUAGGUAUCUGGAGAAAUCUCAUGUUUGCUCAAUGUGUGUAUUCAAGAGUUCAUAUUUUAAAUUAGAUAUUUGUUGAAAUGGCAUAUUGCAUCUAAUUUCUGAAAUAAACACUUACAUAUGAAGUUGCUUUGAAUUUGAAAGCUGCGUCUUGUUCACUAAUAGCAUUUUCUUGGAAAAGAAAAUUGAAACUAGCAGAAGUUCAAAACAUAUUAGGGACCAAAAGGUGUUGAGUACUUAUUAAAAGUGGUAAUUAUGUUUCUUUAUUAUAUGAAGUGUGUCAAAAUGCAUUUUUUCUAGAAAUAAGUUAAUUCAAUGUUAAGUACUCCAGGGGAAAUACGAAUGAAAAUCAGCAACCAUUUAUAUUAUAUAAAAGUAUGAACAAAUAUGCAAGACAUAUACUUUUUCACAAGAAGUCUACUUUGUGUGUUUCAUGUACAGUCACCAAAAUUUAUGUGUCUAAAUGUUUUAAGUUAUGUAGCAUUGAUUUCUGGGAAGUGUUUAGCUAGCAGGUUGUUUUAAACUCACUGGUAUUUGGCUGUCUUCGUUAUGUACCUAUAUACAGUCACAAUUUGCAGAUAAAAUCAAAGCAUACAGUCUGAGAAUGAAUUUUGUCAAAAGCUCAAAAACCAGAAUUAUCUGAUAUUUAAAAAAUUUGUUUAGGGAGUAAGAGACAGAGACACUUUGUUUUGCCCUAUUCCCUAAGGUUUAUCCAUUGUUUGCUCUUUAAAUGGGUGUUCUAUUUCAGCAAGGACUUUUUCCUUUGAAGAGAAAGAGUUGAAUUUUAAGGAUUCAAGGCUUCUGUCCCUUAGUUUUUUCCACCCAAUCCUUACAACCCACCGAUCACGAAUACUGAAGAUUGCCUCUAUCGUCUUCCUCCCCCUUCAUUCUUUCCUUAAAUCAAAACACUAUUUUUGUUUUCUAAAAUGCAAAUUAGAGAUAUGUUUCACUGGCAGUUACAUUCAGUAAUGUUUCUGAUUUUGGAUUAUCUCUGGAGAACCUUUUUUUAAAAAAUAAAAAGUUGCAUAAAACAAAGUUACAUCAUAAAUCUUCAACUAUCACAAAUUUAUUUCAAAAAGAACUAAACAUUUCUACUUAAGACAUCCCUGUGACAGCUCACAUAAGGAUUGCAGUUGAUUCAAAGGUAAGCCUUUUAAUUUAUAUUCAAAUUAACUCAUUAUUCACAUUUAAUAAGAAAAGAACUGAUCAUUUCACCAACCUUUAUCCUUAGCAGGAAUAUACAUUUUAUUCAAUACCAGAGGCUGUUUGCAGAUCCAUUCUUAAUUAUGCAAAAACCCUUAUAAUACAGGUGGUGGAGAAAUAUUGUAUGAAGGGGAAGGAAAAAAAAGACCCAGAUGACAAAUCUUAUAUUUUACAGAGUGACUAAAAUGAUUUUCUUAUAGCUCUUGGGACAUAUCUACAGUGAGCACAUACUGAUUACUGAGGAAAACCCAGACAUCUUACCAGAUACAUUUGUGGAAUCCCCAGAUGUGACUGUCAUUAAUAAUUAUGCCACAUAAUUAUCAUUUCAAUGGAUUUUUAGAGCACAGUGGAGAGACAAUAAGAAUUUGUUGUGUGACGGAAAAUGAGAAAAUAGCAGCCACUGAAGUCUGACCAAGGUAAUUCACCAUAGAGAGGAGAUGUCACCAUGAGCUUUGCAAGUACUGUCACCUCAAACACUAGCCAGGCAAUGCAUUUUAGGCAGCUUUGGGAAGAUUUUCUUACUAUGCUUCUAGAAGUUUGAAAGAAAAGCUUAUAAAAAAAUAUGCUCUUCCUAUUUCCAAAUAAAGAUAAUGUAAUAUAGUUUCUAUAGAAUAAUAGUCUUUUGGCAGAGGGCUUGAAGGAAACGAGUAGAGUCCACACAUUCUGUUCGUUUAUGGAACAAAUUUAGCAUACAGAGAAUUUCCUCGGAGAAUUCUCUACACUGGCAUGACAUGACUAUGAUUUUAUUUUUAUAUUUUCU